rfam:Pteropus alecto contig164299, whole genome shotgun sequence.
GUUUAUGGCCAUGUUACCCUGAGCAAGCCCGAUCUUGUCUGAUCUCGGAAGCUAAGCAGGGUCAGGCCUGGUUAGUACUUGGAUGGGAGAUCACCUAGGAAAACCAAGUGCUGUAGGCA